rnacentral:tRNA from 1 species
GCCGCCUUGGCGCAAUUGGUAGCGCAGCACCCUUGUAAUGUGAAGGUUAGGGGUUCAAGUCCCCUAGGCGGCUCGA